GACGAACGCUGGCGGCGUGCUUAACACAUGCAAGUCGAACGGUGAAGCCCUUCGGGGUGGAUCAGUGGCGAACGGGUGAGUAACACGUGAGCAACCUGCCCCUGGCUCUGGGACAACCACUGGAAACGGUGGCUAAUACCGGAUACGACCCGCCUCGGCAUCGAGUGUGGGUGGAAAGUUUUUCGGCUGGGGAUGGGCUCGCGGCCUAUCAGCUUGUUGGUGAGGUGAAGGCUCACCAAGGCGACGACGGGUAGCCGGCCUGAGAGGGCGACCGGCCACACUGGGACUGAGACACGGCCGAGACUCCUACGGGAGGCAGCAGUGGGGAAUAUUGCACAAUGGGCGAAAGCCUGAUGCAGCGACGCCGCGUGAGGGAUGACGGCCUUCGGGUUGUAAACCUCUUUCAGCUCCGAAGAAGCGAAAGUGACGGUAGGAUCAGAAGAAGCACCGGCUAACUACGUG
rnacentral:rRNA from 1 species